CUUGCACUGGUGUAACUCAAUAUCACAAAGUGCAACCUAUUUAUCAGUCUAACUUGCACCAGGUGCAGGUCAAUUUUUGAGAAAUAUAUCAACA